UGACCUCAGAUCAGACGGGGCCACCCGCUGAGUUUAAGCAUAUCAAUAAGCGGAGGAGAAGAAACUUACGAAGAUUCCCUUAGUAACGGCGAGCGAAUCGGGAAAAGCCCAGCUUGAAAAUUAGGUGGUUGUGCUGCCUAA
rnacentral:rRNA from 1 species